GAAGGGGACCAGCCCAGCGCAUAACCUCGUGGUCCGUAGCCGGCCGUCGAGGGGUGUUGCGUUUCGGUGGAUCCGUACCGCUCGAGCUGCUCACCGCCUAAGUCAUUGCUUGAAUGCAGCCCCAAGGAGGGUGGUAGGCCCGUGUGGCGGCGCCUGUAAAAAGGUCCGAGGCAGCUUGGGCGGAGGGGUCUUUACCGUAGAGUCGGGUUGCUUAGUACUGCAGCCCUAAGCAGGUGGUAAACUCCAUCUAAGGCUAAAUACAACCACGAGUCCGAUAUUUGACAAGUACCGUGAGGGAAAGCUGAAAAGGACUCUGAAGAGAGAGUUCAAGAGGACGUGAAACCAUUAGAAGCUCAAACGGGUGGAACCGUGAAGGUCGAAAGAGGGGAUUCAGCCGGCCGGUCUUGGGCGGCGGGUGCGGUACAAGUUGCAUUUCAGUGAGAGGACCCGGCGUAAACGUGUGUUGCCGUGGCCCCGUGCCUGUCGACCUGAGCCCUGUCGGCUUAGUUCUCCCUCGAGUAGUGGUCGUCGCGACCCGCUGGGCGGGCCCCGAGGGCCGCGCCGGACUGGUAGCCUGCACUUUGUUGGAGGCGAUGACCGGCUGCGGUACUGACUGGGCUUGCCCGGCGGUCACUGCAAGGAGGCCGCCUCGCGCGGCCUCUCGCGACGUGAAAGGGAUUGGUAAUCCACCCGACCCGUCUUGAAACACGGACCAAGGAGUCCAACAUGUGCGCGAGUCUAAGGGUGUACUAAAUCCGAAGGCGAAAUGAAAGUGAGCCCCUUGUGGGCAGGCCGAUCCCCUGUCGGCUCGGGGGCCGGAGGCCUUGCGGCGUGAGUCAAUUUCCGCUGUUCGUGCCGUCGGUCGCCGGGUUGGCGGCCGGUUCCUUUCGGGGGGCCGGAGAUGGGGCGCAGGCCGAGGACUUGCCAUUGUGCGGCGCGGGGAACGGGGUUUCGGCCUUUAUCCCGACGUCCGUCGGCAAGUACCUGAGAGCGCAGCCGUUGGGACCCGAAAGAUGGUGAACUAUGCCUGGCGAGGACGAAGCCAGAGGAA
rnacentral:rRNA from 1 species